UCCCCUGUGGUGUAAUCGGCAGCACAGUGGCCUUUGGAGCCAUUUGUCCAGGUUCGAGUCCUGGCGGGGGAG
rnacentral:tRNA from 2 species